rnacentral:rRNA from 1 species
UACAGAGGGUGCGAGCGUUAAUCGGAAUUACUGGGCGUAAAGCGCGCGUAGGCGGCUUUUCAAGUCGAUUGUGAAAUCCCCGGGCUUAACCUGGGAACUGCAGUCGAGACUGUCUAGCUAGAGUAUGGGAGAGGGAAGUGGAAUUUCAGGUGUAGCGGUGAAAUGCGUAGAGAUGUGGAGGAACACCGAUGGCGAAGGCAGCCUCGUCGGCCAGCACUGACGCUCAUGCGACGAAAGCGUGGGGAGCGAAACAGG